rnacentral:lncRNA from 1 species
UUCAUGCACAAGAGAAGAGCCAUGAUGUCAUUGAUCCUCUUUGGAAAUGAAGGACAAAUAACAACAAAGCCUGAUCUAUGUCUCACAGGAAGAGGGGGAUUCUGUAAGGAACGUAUGGUUAAUAAAAUAUUUCAUUGUGGUUAUUGCUUGUUCUUUACAAGAAGGCAUUUGACUAUGUAGAACAAAAUGCUUCCUUGAAGAUUCUCCUCCAAAAAGGUACUUCGUAGGUUGACAUUAUGAGAAAUGAGGCAAUAGAAGAAAAAUAAUGAAUUUCAGAAAUAUUGUCCUUAUGGAAAGAAAAUAGAAACUAGGAGAAGCUUGCUAUUUAUUUCCUAGGGAAGGUGAGUUUGAAUCUUUUCUUACACAGAAGCAGACCUUAUUGUCACUUCUUUGCCAUUUUUUAAUCAUGCUGCCUGUACUUGGGCUAUCAUUUUCAUCUUUCUCUUCCCCACCUCAUUUCCACCAGAAACUUGGACUAUACCCCUGAGAUGUCAGGUUAAACUAGGUGAGCUUUCAACUUAUCUUUUCCAAAACCAGGUCUCUUAGUCACUUCCCAGCUAUUUCUAAAUCUCCCCCACCUAGUACUUUGUGGUUCCUGUUAAUGGAUUUUCUUCCCCUAUUAGAAAGUAACUUUUUUGAGUUCAGGGACUAUCUUUCUUGUAUAUAUUUAUAUCUUCACCUCUUUACUAUACUGUGUGCAACAUAUUAGGCAUAUAAAUUCUUUCAUCAUCAUCAUCAUUAUCAAAUUUAGUCCUAUUUGAAAGGCAUCAAAGUAUAGUAAAGUACAUAGUUUAGAAUCAAGAAUAUUUGAGUUCAUAUCAUGAUACAUAUUAUCUGUGUUUACUAUGGAAGAAUUACUUAACUUCUCAAAGAUUCAGUUUCUUCAUCUGUGAAAAGG